CUAGGAUGAACGCUAGCGGCAGGCUUAACACAUGCAAGUCGAGGGGCAGCGGGAUGUAGCAAUACAUUGCCGGCGACCGGCGGAUGGGUGCGUAACGCGUAUGCAACCUACCUUAUACAGGGGAAUAACCUUUCGAAAGGGAGACUAACACCCCAUGGUAUUGAUUUAAGGCAUCUUAGAUUAAUUAAAUAUUUAUAGGCAUAAGAUGGGCAUGCGUAUGAUUAGCUAGUUGGUAAGGUAACGGCUUACCAAGGCGACGAUCAUUAGGGGUUCUGAGAGGAAGGUCCCCCACACUGGUACUGAGACACGGACCAGACUCCUACGGGAGGCAGCAGUGAGGAAUAUUGGUCAAUGGGCGCAAGCCUGAACCAGCCAUGCCGCGUGCAGGAAGACGGCCUUAUGGGUUGUAAACUGCUUUUACAUAAGACUAACCGUAUAUUUGCGAAUAUACCUGAAUGUAUUAUGAGAAUAAGGAUCGGCUAACUCCGUGCCAGCCGCGGC
rnacentral:rRNA from 1 species